UGAGGAAUAUUGGUCAAUGGGCGCAAGCCUGAACCAGCCACGUCGCGUGAAGGAAGACGGCCCUACGGGUUGUAAACUUCUUUUGCAAGGGAAUAAAGUGGGCCACGUGUGGCCUUUUGCAAGUACCUUGCGAAUAAGGAUCGGCUAACUCCGUGCCAGCAGCCGCGGUAAUACGGAGGAUCCGAGCGUUAUCCGGAUUUAUUGGGUUUAAAGGGUGCUCAGGCGGGACAUUAAGUCGGCGGUGAAAUUUUGCGGCUCAACCGUAAAAGUGCCUUCGAAACUGGUAUCCUUGAGUGUGGAUGAGGUAGGCGGAAUUUGUGGUGUAGCGGUGAAAUGCAUAGAUAUCACGAGGAACUCCGAUUGCGCAGGCAGCUUACUAAGCCAUAACUGACGCUCAAGCACGAAGGCGUGGGGAUCAAACAGG
rnacentral:rRNA from 3 species